rnacentral:tRNA from 1 species
AGCCCUGUAGUGAGUAUCACGUCAAAUUGCAAAUUUGAAAACGUUCCUAUUUGGUUCCAGGGCUU